GAUGAACGCUGGCGGCGUGCUUAACACAUGCAAGUCGAACGAAGCACUUUAUUACGAUUUCUUCGGAAUGACGAUUUAGUGACUGAGUGGCGGACGGGUGAGUAACGCGUGGGUAACCUGCCUUAUACAGGGGGAUAACAGUUAGAAAUGACUGCUAAUACCGCAUAAGCGCACAGGAUUGCAUGAUCUGGUGUGAAAAACUCCGGUGGUAUAAGAUGGACCCGCGUCUGAUUAGCUGGUUGGUGAGGUAACGGCCCACCAAGGCGACGAUCAGUAGCCGACCUGAGAGGGUGACCGGCCACAUUGGGGACUGAGACACGGUCCCAAACUCCUACGGGAGGCAGCAGUGGGGAAUAUUGCACAAUGUGGG
rnacentral:rRNA from 1 species